AGUGAACGCUGGCGGUAGGCCUAACGCAUGCAAGUCGAACGGCAGCACAGUAAGAGCUUGCUCUUACGGGUGGCGAGUGGCGGACGGGUGAGGAAUACAUCGGAAUCUACUUUUUCGUGGGGGAUAACGUAGGGAAACUUACGCUAAUACCGCAUACGACCUACGGGUGAAAGCAGGGGAUCUUCGGACCUUGCGCGAUAGAAUGAGCCGAUGUCGGAUUAGCUAGUUGGCGGGGUAAAGGCCCACCAAGGCGACGAUCCGUAGCUGGUCUGAGAGGAUGAUCAGCCACACUGGAACUGAGACACGGUCCAGACUCCUACGGGAGGCCGCAGUGGGGAAUAUUGGACAAUGGGCGCAAGCCUGAUCCAGCCAUACCGCGUGGGUGAAGAAGGCCUUCGGGUUGUAAAGCCCUUUUGUUGGGAAAGAAAAGCAGCAGGUUAAUACCCCGCUGUUCUGACGGUACCCAAAGAAUAAGCACCGGCUAACUUCGUG
rnacentral:rRNA from 1 species